GACGAACGCUGGCGGCGUGCCUAAUACAUGCAAGUCGAACGCAGUGGGGACGGGUGAGUAACACGUGGGUAACCUCCCAUCAGAGGGGAUAACACUUGGAAACAGGUGCUAACCCGAUAUCGAUGGAUGGACCCGGGGUGCAUUAGCUAGUUGGAGCGGAAACGGCUCACCAAGGCCACGAUGCAUGGCCGUCCUGUGGGUGUGAUUGUCCAUACUGGGACUGAGACACGGUCCGGACUCCUACGUGAGGCAGCAGUAGGGAAUGUUCGGCAAUUGACGAAAGUCGGACCGAGCAACGCCGCGUGAGUGAAGAAGGUUUUCGGAUCGUAAAGCUCUGUUGUUAGAGAAGCGGUAUCUAACCAGAAAGCCACGGCUAACUACGUGCCAGCAGCCGCGGUAAUUC
rnacentral:rRNA from 1 species